GAUGCUUUUGAAUUAUGGUGCUGGAGGAGACUCUUGAGAGUCCCAUGGACUGCAAGAAGAUCAAACCUCUCCAUUCUUAAGGAAAUCAGCCCUGAGUGCUCACUGGAAGGACAGAUCCUGAAUCUGAGGCUCCAAGACUUUGGCCACCUCAUGAGAAGAGAAGACUCUGAUGUUGGGAAAGAUGGAGGGCACAAGGAGAAGGGACAACAGAGGAUGAGAUGGUUGGAUAGUGUUCUCGAAGCUACCAGCAUGAGUUUG